AGUAACUGCGAGUGAAGCGGGAAAAGCUCAAAUUUAAAAUCUGGUGGUCUUUGGCCAUCCGAGUUGUAAUUUAGAGAAGCGUCCAUCCGCGCCGGACCGUGCACAAGUCUCCUGGAAUGGAGCAUCAUAGAGGGUGAGAAUCCCGUCUUUGGCAUGGACCCCCGGGGCUUUGUGAUGCGCUCUCAAAGAGUCGAGUUGUUUGGGAAUGCAGCUCAAAAUGGGUGGUGAACUCCAUCUAAAGCUAAAUACAGGCGAGAGACCGAUAGCGAACAAGUACCGUGAGGGAAAGAUGAAAAGCACUUUGGAAAGAGAGUGAAACAGUACGUGAAAUUGUUGAAAGGGAAACGCUUGAAGUCAGUCGCGUCGGCCGAGAUUCAGCCUUGCUCAGGCUUGGUGUACUUCUCGGUCGACGGGUCAGCGUCGAUUUUGCCCCUCGGAUAAUGGCAGAGGGAAGGUGGCACCCUUCCCGGGUGUGUUAUAGCCCUCUGUCGGAUGCGAGGGUCAGGAUCGAGGAACUCAGCACGCGCCUCUUGGCGGUCGGGGCUUCGGCUCACGCUUACGUGCUUAGGAUGUUGGCGUAAUGGCUUUAAACGACCCGUCUUGAAACACGGACCAAGGAGUCUAACAUGCACGCGAGUGUUCGGGUGGAAAACCCGUGCGCGUAAUGAAAGUGAAAGUCGGGACCCCUGUCGUGGGGGGCACCGAUGCCCGGACCAGACCUUCUGUGACGGAUCUGCGGUAGAGCGUGCAUGUUGGGACCCGAAAGAUGGUGAACUAUGCCUGAGUAGGGUGAAGCCAGAGGAAACUCUGGUGGAGGCUCGUAGCGAUUCUGACGUGCAAAUCGAUCGUCAAAUUUGGGUAUAGGGGCGAAAGAGUAAUCGAACCAU
rnacentral:rRNA from 1 species